CUCCAAUACACAGCAGCCUCCAAUAGCAAGCGCGUGCCCAGAGCGUUUUUACACCCACUUCACAACCAGCUUUUUUUGUGAUUAGCAUCAGGAAUUGCAUCCCUUCUCCCACACUGCUGACGAAAGAGCCCAGUGACCUGCAGACCUCUGGCAGGCAGAAUUUAGGAAAGUCACAGCACUGAGCUAAAUCCAUCCUGAAGUUCAAACCAUCCCCUGGGGCUGAAGCUUGGCUACAAGAACCGGGCUGCCCAAAGGGACCAGAGAAAAACUGAGCUCCUACUCACACUGCUGAGAUAAAAGGUACCAGGAGACCACUUCCUUGAGAUCCUUCUAGAUCCCUUCCUUUGGGCCUCUCGCUGCAAGAAAGACAUGGAGGCCCCGGAAUGUGUUCAGAGAAGGGCAACAGAGCUGUGAACAGUCUAGAGCAGAGGUCUGGGGGAGCUGGGAUGGUUCAGUCUGGAGAAGAGGAAGCUCAUUGCUAAAACAUAACCCGUUGAGAGGCACUGUGCAGUUGGAAAGUCCCACUCUGCCACAGACAGAAUACCAGGAAACUUCAGUCACAUUGGCAGCUCUGGAGCAAAGCUGGAGACCCCCCUGCCAGCCAUGCUGCAGCUCUGUCAGAGUUGGAUUCUGCAGGGCACUGCCGUUGUCCUAUGUGUCCAUAUGUGUCCUGCACAGCACCAGUGGGCUCUCAUAUUUCCUGCCCCAAGCUCACCUGCUCAGUAGGAGAUCUGCAGAAAAUUCCAUGUCCGUAUAGAGAAAAUAUCUGGUUCUUUCAAACUGAAGAUGUAAAGAUGACUAAAAGAAGGUCGGCCUGGAACCAAAAGGAAGAGCCUAAACACAUGAAGCUAAUGAGUGCAGAAAUACCAGAGUUGUUGUAGCAUGGACAUCAAGUACAUGGACACCAGGGACAUGGGCAAAAACACAUGGACACCAAUAACGUGGACACAAGUACACGGACAUCAGGAAUAUACGGACACAAGAACGUGGGAAAGCAUAGUCUGAAGCUCUCCACAGCAUCCAAGAAGGGCCAGGUCCCAUGCCCCAUUUUAGCAGUUUCAAGUGACAUGUGCAUCCCUGGCUCAUAAAUCUCAGCUAAUCAGAGCACUUCCUUGGGCCUCCAUAUCUUUGUUGAAUCACUUUCCCCAGGCCACGCUGACUCUCCAGACCUCUCACUCAGUGCUUCCAACAAGGGACACAACAAACUCCAGCCCAACACAGCUCCCCACAGCUCAGGCUGCUGUUGCCAUCGCUCACACACACAACCAGCCGACCGCACAGAGCCUGUGAGCUCCCACAGCACAAAGCUCCACUGUUAGAUGUGUCCGCUCGCGUGGUUUAACAUGCAUCAUCUACCAUGCUGACAAAGAUUAAAUGAGUCAUCCCUUAGCAAGCGUUCAGCUGGCCAAGCUCAAUCUCGUGGGGAUCUUUGACUGUAACUCAAGCUACUUAAAUCUGUUCUACAUUAGACUCCCGACAGCCCAAAUGGCGUAAUUUAAAACAUAUGUCGGGGUGUAAUCGCACCUUUUAAUGUAGGCUCAAUAAAACCCAAAGGUGCUUGAAAACCCAAAUGACUUGUCAUGAAAAA
ensembl:lncRNA